UAGGUAGGUGGUCUCAUUUGUCUGGGGUGAAAUCCUUGGGCUUAACUCAAGAAGUGCCCCGGAAACGGUGAGACUAGAGUGCUGGAGAGGGUCGUGGAAUUCCCGGUGUAGCGGUGAAAUGCGUAGAGAUCGGGAGGAACACCAGAGGCGAAGGCGGCGACCUGGACAGUGACUGACACUCAACUACGAAAGCGUGGGGAGCAAACAGGAUUAGAUACCCUGGUAGUCCACGCUGUAAACGAUGGGUACUAGGUUUGGUGGGUCUUGACCCCCGCUGAACCGGCGCUAACGCACUAAGUACCCCGCCUGGGAAGUACGGUCGCAAGACUAAA
rnacentral:rRNA from 1 species